rnacentral:rRNA from 1 species
GACGAACGCUGGCGGCGUGCUUAACACAUGCAAGUCGAACGGAAAGGCCCUGCUUUUGUGGGGUGCUCGAGUGGCGAACGGGUGAGUAACACGUGAGUAACCUGCCCUUGACUUUGGUAUAACUUCAGGAAACUGGGGCUAAUACCGGAUAGGAGCUCCUGCUGCAUGGUGGGGGUUGGAAAGUUUCGGCGGGUGGGGAUGGACUCGCGGCUUAUCAGCUUGUUGGUGGGGUAGUGGCUUACCAAGGCUUUGACGGGUCGCCGGCCUGAGAGGGUGACCGGCCACAUUGGGACUGAGAGACGGCGCAGACUCCUACGGGAGGCAGCAGUGGCGAAUAUUGCACAAUGGGCGGAAGCCUGAUGCAGCAACGCCGCGUGCGUGAUGACGGCCUUCGGGUUGUAAACCGCUUUCGCCUGUGACGAAGCGUGAGUGACGGUAAUGGGUAAAGAAGCACCGGCUAACUACGUG